rnacentral:rRNA from 1 species
CGUAGGGUGCGAGCGUUAAUCGGAAUUACUGGGCGUAAAGCGUGCGUAGGCGGUUCGUUAAGUCAGCUGUGAAAGCCCCGGGCUCAACCUGGGAACUGCGGUUGAAACUGGCGAACUAGAAUCUGGCAGAGGGGGGUGGAAUUCCACGUGUAGCAGUGAAAUGCGUAGAGAUGUGGAGGAACACCGAUGGCGAAGGCAGCCCCCUGGGCUGAGAUUGACGCUCAGGCACGAAAGCGUGGGGAGCAAACAGGAUUAGAUACCCUGGUAGUCCACGCCCUAAACGAUGUCAACUAGGUGUUGGAGGAGCAAUCCUUUGGUACCGCAGCUAACGCGUGAAGUUGACCGCCUGGGGGAGUACGGUCGCAAGAUUAA